ensembl:lncRNA
AUGCUGCUUUGUGAAUAAGGUUUUGCUUCGGGUUUAUAUGACCCGCUGUGAUGACGGCAUGAAUAAAUGCAGUAACAGCAGCGCAGCGGCGUGAGUGUGGAGAACAGAACUGGCUUUUGGCUGCAGACAUUUAGGAGACUUAGAAAGCUUUAAACGAUGGAAACGCGUUGACCUCCACUGAACUGUUUGUGACGCGCAUCUUAGGACCGUGAGUCAUAAAGUAAUUGUUUUGUACACAGAUAUCAGCAUUCUAUCGUAUAGCGACUUGUGUGCUUUCGAUUUCUUUCGAUUUGUUGAGGCGGUCAAAUCUUGACAGGCUUCUAAACUCUGCCUUCGUUGUCGAACAUACGCCAUCACUGCAAUCUGUAGGCUCGAUCCGCGUCAAAAAGACUCUUGGACGAGUGUGAAGAAGAAGACGUUGAGCCGUGGAUGUCCUCUGUCUUCUCUAAGUGCCUCCGGGUCAGACGAGUGGACGCCGUCUUCCUAAACGAGAUGAACCAACAUAAACAGAUUCAGCAGAGAUGGAAACAGCGGCGGUUCUCUUUGCGCGUAGUGCCCUUGGGCUUCGGCCAUCUGGGGCCUGGGAAUGCACUAAUCCUAAAAUAAACACAUGCAGGUCGUGCCUCUGCGCAGCUUUGUCCCAGACGUCCCCACGUCUCGAAGUUUGGGGCUCGGGACGUCCAACCCGACACGCCUUCCCCUCAACAUUAGUUCGUCCGUUGAUUUUGAGCAAAGAUAGGGGAGGUCAAGACAACUGUAAAUAUGUCUCAUUCUCAUCUCAUUCCUCUGCGCCAUGAAGCUCCAUUGUUGUCAAUGAGUCAUGUGACCCGGGAAUAUUAUUCUGGAAAUUUGCUCACAGUAAAACACAACAACAACAAUUCACACUUCAAUAUACUGCGUUUUAGAUUUGGCAUAGAACGACGGUGUGUUGCAGAAAUAAAGCAACUAGAACUAGAAAGAGACUGUUCGGACCCUCUGACAUCACCUCAUCCAGUUGUUUUGGGUUCUGUUACUGAGGAACUGAAGUGAUUAAUGUGAAUACACGAGUGUGAUGCAUGCACUAGUGUUGCAUCACUUCCUCUCAGGUGUGCUGGCAGUGACACGUCUGUAGAACCACAAACUCAGGUAGUAUCUGCAGGUGCAUUUACUCCUGGACCGUACUAAAGUACAAAUUCACGGUACCUACAAUUUAGUCCAAAACACACAGAAAAUUGUUUUUGUUUGUUUUAGUGGUAUGAUUGUUUACUUUGUUGAUCCCAAACCAAUCAGUAAACAAUCAGUAUUAAUUAUUUAUGGGCUUAAAUAGUAAUUUGUACUAACAUGUCAUUUACACUCCCAUUAUCAUUUAAAGUGUUGAUAAUACAAUACAAAAAAAGACCCAAAAUGAUACCACGGAGAUCCAGAGGAAGCUGUGGUGGAGGAUGAGUUUGACCUUUCACCUCUGUGUCCGUGCUGUCAAACAUCAGCAUAAAUAUGUUUUCUGAGUAACACCAUCUGAAGAAAACAAGCUGCUUUGCUGCAAACAUUUACAUCUUCAGCAGCAGUCUGCACACCGUUUACACCAAGAAGACGUGUGGUGUUCCCCAAGGUUCAAUUCUGGAGCCUCUUCUGUUCCACCAGGUCAGCUUACUUUAGGAAACAAGGUGUGUUACACUGAACAUAACGGGCCCUUGACAAAUGCAUCAUGGGAAAGGACUCUUGAACUUGAGACUCAGCGUCUUAGUUCAGUUUGUUUGUUGCUCCAUCAGAUCAGAUCAUAGAAUGCAGAAAAAUGUAACUUUGAGUUCUGAGAGUUACAUUACAUUACAUGUCAUUUAGCUGACGCUUUUAUCCAAAGCGACGUACAAUAAGUGCAUUCAGCCAUAGGGUACAAACUCAGAAGAACAAGAAACAAGAAAGUGCAAUUUCCUCAAAUAAGCCAAUUUACAAUUUGCUAUAGAUGAGUGACGUUACAAGUACAAUUUAAGUAAUACAAUUUGUUAGUCUUUAGUUGAGGUGGAGUCUGAGUUGAGUCUAACACAACUGAAUGAGAAGAAACAGUUUUAAAAAAGAAACAAGUGACGUAUGAGAGACGAGAGGGACGAGGAAGUGACUCUUUAUCAACAAGAGGAAGUAGAUUCAUCAUUUGUCUUUAAGACGGAAGAAGCAGAGAGACGAGAGACGGAGAGGAACCAUGGCUGAAUUCAGAGGGAUUCAAACCUCUUUGUUCCUGAUUCUGAUGCUUCAGUUUACAGAAGCAGCAACAGAACAACGUCUCACUGUCAGAGAUGGAGAUGAAGUCACUUUGCCUUGUAACAGUGUGACUGAGGACCAGAACAACUGUGACUCUACCGAGUGGUACUUCUAUCAUUCAGGAAACAGAUCAACAAAUUAUCUGGUUACAAAAGGGCAGAUUGAUGAUGAAGCCAAAGCUGAAUCAGACAGACUGAGUGUUUCACAGAACUGUUCUCUGGUUAUGAAGAAGGUCACACGUGGAGAUGUUGGUCUUUAUGUCUGCAGACAGGUCAGACCAGGAGGACAUGAAGAUGCUAAGGUUCAUCUGUCUGUUGUUUCCAUGACUGAAGAGACGAACAGAGACGAGGUGACGUUAAACUGCUCUGUGUGGACGUAUGAAGGAUGUAAACACACAGUGAAGUGGAUGAAUGGUGGUCAAGAUGUGGACAAAGACAAAGAAGUGAAGACAUCACCGUCUCUCUGCUCCGCCUCUCUGUCCUUCAUGACUUCUCACUUCUUUUACACAUCAAGCUUCACUUCAUUGAAGUGUGAAGUGACCGAUGGAGACAAAGUGAUGCAGUUUCCUCUCAGGAAUUCUCCCCCAUGUGAUAUAACAGGUGAACACACAACAACAACAACAACUGAAGAGGACACAAAAGCAGGCGGGUGGAGGCUCGUCUCUGUGUCCGUUGGAUUAGCAGCACUCAUAAUAAUAGUUGUAGUCGUCAACAUGUGGAUUAGAAUUAAAGAGAGGAAAACACAGACGGAAGAAAACGCUGUGAGUCUUUAACAAGUUAACAAUGAAACGCUUCAUCGCUUCAUGACGUUCUUAUCUGCAGUAUUUCUUCACUCCAUCACGAGUCGCUUUAGAGCUUCUAGCAGCUAACGGUGCUAACGGCCCACCAAUGCUAGCAGAGCUAACACUUAGCGACUGAGCUCACAGUGUCCACAUGAGGGGGAACCGCAAGGUGGAUGCUACAUGGAGGGUGGAGCACGUCAGAGAGGUGGGGGUGUAAAGUGUGGCUUUGAUUGUGUUGUUUCUCACAGGUGCGUUAUGAUGCAGAAGAUGACACAGUGAACUAUGAAAACAUGAGACCUGCUGGUGGAGCACGUCAGAGAGGUGGGGGUGUAAAGUGUGGCUUUGUGUUGUUUCUCACAG